rnacentral:lncRNA from 12 species
CAUAGAUGGGCAAGUAGUAUGCAUAAGAAAUACACAUGUGUUCUUUUAAAUAAACUACUGAGAUGGGGGUUGCCCAUUAUAAAGCUCUAGAUCUACAUAUUCUGACUGUGUGACCACAUCAUUUGACUAUGUAACUGUGAGCCAUAAAUAACUGGAAUGUUCGGGAUGUGGGUGGAUUCAUAUGCAUCCGUGGGGAAAGGAAAGACUCCAUUCCAUUCUGUCAGCCUGUCACCACCCUCCUGCCGUUGGAAUGUCCACAGCGUCAGGAAUCAGCACAAGUCUGCUAUGGAUACCUUAUACUAAAUCAAUGCAGGGUAUCUGUGCUUUCCAGGUAAUUUUCUUGGCUCUCUCAUCACUAUUAAAAUCACAAAUCCAGGGUUUAUGUUCCAUAUUAAUCCUUUGCUGAAUAAUUUUUAACAAAUUAUUUGUAGAUCUAGUUAGAGAAAUAAGGAAGUAUUGAGGUCGGUUUCCUAGCUGGUACAUCG